UACGGAGGAUGCAAGCGUUAUCCGGAAUGAUUGGGCGUAAAGCGUCCGCAGGUGGCUUUGUAAGUCUGCUGUUAAAUAGUGAGGCUUAACCUCAUAAAGGCAGUGGAAACUACAAGGCUAGAGUGCGUUCGGGGCAGAGGGAAUUCCUGGUGUAGCGGUGAAAUGCGUAGAGAUCAGGAAGAACACCGGUGGCGAAAGCGCUCUGCUAGGCCGCAACUGACACUGAGGGACGAAAGCUAGGGGAGCGAAU
rnacentral:rRNA from 1 species